AUUGCCUGAAUUUAAAUUCAGGGAUUCCACCUCUUACUGGCUGGGUGAUCAUGGGGAAGUUCUUAAUAUCUUGAGCCUCAACGUCUUCAUCUCUAAAAUGGGAACAAUAAUAGCAUCCACUUUAUAGAGUUGUGAGAUUUAAAUGAUAUCAUGGAUAUUAGUCCAUGUCUCAGUGCCUACGUUAUAAUAAAUGCUUAUUACAGGAAUGCUAUUGUUAUUGUGUCUGCAUUUUUUAGUUUUUAUUUUUCUCCAGUGUACAUGUACUUUUUAAUAACCAGAAAGAGUGAUUAAGGAUGAUGUGGUUACAUGAGGGUAUGCUCUGCAAGAAACUGGGAGUGAAUCCCACAGAACUGUCAGAAGUGGAGGGUCUAACAUGAAAUGAUUUGUAUUUUCUUAACUGGGACAACCAGAAGCUUCCUUUGCCUUUGUAGGACUUGCUGAGAGCUUUAUCCUGGCAAACUGAAGCUAAAUGUGGCCAGCGUGAAAGUGAUCAUAGGAGAAGACUAUCUCAUUGACCUUUGCACUAAAUGACUCCACCAACUGGACCAUAUGUUUGCACGAGGCUUAGGGAUUUAGAGUGUGGACAUAUAUAGUUUCUCAUUUUAUCUCUGCCAAGGAUUAAUAACUCAGUGAUAGCCUGGGGAACCUGGCAGCUCCAAAGGUAUUUGUUUAAAGAAUCUCUAUUUUCAGAUGAGGAAAUAAAGGAUCUGGGAGUUGCAGUAAUUUGUGCAUUGUUCAAAGCUGUAACUAGAACCUAGGGCUUUGGGUUCUUAUUCUUUUGCUCUUAUUUUAUUACCCUUUCAAGUUAAUGACUACGAAUACAUUUGGUUUAGGGAAGGGGCUCAGAUUCAAGACAAAUAACAGAUUUUGAUGUUCAUAUUUUGGUUGUCUUGACUAAAAGGAUUAAGAUGUUGGAUGAUGGAAUUAAAAUUCAAAACUUCAGAUUGAAGUGAUGGAGCCACUCUAAAGACUGCACUGGAGGUUCCCCCCAUACCGCACUCAGGUUUAUUUACCUUACAACUGGAAGUUGGUGCCUUUUGACCAACCUCUCUCAAUAGUUUGAAGAAGAAUUUUCACUAUUGCAGAAAGGGGGAUGUGAGACUUUCCAACUCACUUAGUCAUAAUGUGGCUGCCUCUGUUCCAACU
rnacentral:lncRNA from 1 species